AUACGUAGGGGGCGAGCGUUGUCCGGAAUGAUUGGGCGUAAAGGGCGCGUAGGCGGCCCGGUAAGUCUGGAGUGAAAGUCCUGUUUUUAAGAUGGGAAUUGCUUUGGAUACUGUCGGGCUUGAGUGCAGGAGAGGUAAGUGGAAUUCCCAGUGUAGCGGUGAAAUGCGUAGAGAUUGGGAGGAACACCAGUGGCGAAGGCGACUUACUGGACAUCAACUGACGCUGAGGAGCGAAAGUGUGGGGAGCAAACAGGAUUAGAUACCCUGGUAGUCCACACCGUAAACGAUGGAUACUAGGUGUGCGGGGACUGACCCCCUGCGUGCCGGAGUUAACACAUUAAGUAUCCCACCUGGGGAGUACGAUCGCAAGAUUGAAACUCAAAGGAAUUGGCGGGG
rnacentral:rRNA from 1 species